UUGCGGUCAUAUCACGUCGAAAAACAUGUUCCUGUCCGAUCACCGAAGUUAAGCAAUGCCGAGUCUGGUCAGUACCUAAAUGGGUGACCGUUAUGAAUACCAGCAGCUGAA